UACGUAGGGUGCAAGCGUUGUCCGGAAUUAUUGGGCGUAAAGAGCUCGUAGGCGGUCUGUCGCGUCUGCUGUGGAAACUCAGGGCUUAACCCUGAGCUUGCAGUGGGUACGGGCAGACUAGAGUGCGGUAGGGGAGACUGGAAUUCCUGGUGUAGCGGUGAAAUGCGCAGAUAUCAGGAGGAACACCGGUGGCGAAGGCGGGUCUCUGGGCCUUACCUGACACUGAGGAGCGAAAGCGUGGGGAGCGAACAGG
rnacentral:rRNA from 1 species